rnacentral:lncRNA from 1 species
CAAUGAAGGAGAUUGAACAGCUCUUCCCAUAAGGAAGUUCUUCCCAAUGUUUUGUCAAAAUCUCCUUUCUUGUCAGUGGUUUAGGUCCUGCGCUCCAGAGCAGCAUAAAACAAGCUUGUCUCCAUGCCUUCUGAGUCAUUUUGACAAUGCCGCAAUACUUCCUGUUUCCGGCGGUGGAAAAUGGCUGAUCCCACACAAUCGGACUUUAGCCGUUCCGAUAAUUCAGGGCUGAUAUGGGGGUAAUUAGCCCUGGCAGCCUCCCCAGGGCAGGGGAGGACUGUCUCAAUGACCCGCGGUCUGCCCCAGAUUGCCGAUGUGGCAGACGGCAGGGGCACUGGGUCACGGAGCUAGGGACGGCUGACACUCCUGCGAUGCCACCCCAUAGCCGGACGCAUCUGUUUGGGAAAAUAUAAAGAUUUGGAAAACAAACAGACACGCUCUGAAUUGAAGAAGCUGGAAAAAACCUGCAGUAUGUACAGUCUCUGGUGCAAAAGAUCGAACUUCAAAGAGAUCCUCAUCAUGACGUUUGGAAUGUGGAGGGGCUUGGUAUGUAAAAAAACAUUCUUUUAUCCUUAACAUCAACAAUCCGUAAUGCAUGCCAAGUCUCAUUAAGAACUUAAAUUGCUCUUCAAAAAGUGAGUUCAGAUGGACUUUCAUAUAUAAUUGGGAUCUACUCGCAGCCACUUCUCUUCUAAGACCGGAAAUGUCUGUUAAAGACGAAAACAAAGGACAAAGGACAAAAUGGCGUCUCCCACCACGUUGUUAUUGAAUAUCUGAAAUACUUCCCUGAUUAAGAGAAACAGGAGCUAACGGAUGGUUGGUUAUAAAGACUGGAAACAAUAUUACAUAUACAACUGUUUGCAAAAAGAUGUUUUUUUGAUUACGAGCGAGAGAGAGAGGGCUAAAUGGAUGUCUGGCAGCCCCCCUCUAGGGCCCAGAAGGGGGAAUGGGAAGAUUCCAAAGGCUAUUACUAACUGUCUGAUAUAUGGCUACAUUGCAAACAGUCUGUUUAAGAUAAAUCAACAAGGAGGGUACAGAAGGAAAUUUCUCUCUGUUUCUUUGAUAACACCUGGACGGGAAAGAUUAACGAUCUGGGAGCUGCCAAAAUAACAACUCUCAAAGAGCUGGACAGAACUUUGAAAUUGGAUACAAUUAAAUGAAUCGGUGUGAUGAAAAAACAGCUCAAGGAGUACAAUAUACGGACAAAUCUGCACUCCAUAGGAAAAAAAAGUAUCGGUUUUCUGACAUGAGUGAGGAUCGUAGAACCAGAGUCAAAAUGUGGAAGGGAAAAAUCGGACAUGGAAUUAUGAAUAACAUUGAGGUUGAUGAGAGGCAGGACUAUGAUGUUGAAUGCGCUUCGAAAUUCAGACCGUGGGAAGUCAAAACAAAAUUAUUACAAUUUGGAAGACAAUUGGAC